ACGUAAUAGAUACCCAGGUAGUCCACGCCCUAAACGAUGUCUACUAGUUGUUGGUGGAGUAAAAUCCAUGAGUAAACGCAGCUAAACGCGUGAAGUAGACCGCCUGGGGAGUACGGUCGCAAGAUUAAAACUCAAAUGAAUUGACGGGGGCCCGCACAAGCGGUGGAUUAUGUGGAUUAAUUCGAUGCAACGCGAAAACCUUACCUGGCCUUGACAUGUAACGAACUUUCCAGAGAUGGAUUGGUGCUCGAAAGAGAACGUUAACACAGGUGCUGCAUGGCUGUCGUCAGCUCGUGUCGUGAGAUGUUGGGUUAAGUCCCGCAACGAGCGCAACCCUUGCCAUUAAUUGCCAUCAUUUAGUUGGGCACUUUAAUGGGACUGCCGGUGAC
rnacentral:rRNA from 1 species